ensembl:lncRNA
ACUAUCCCUCCCUUGUAGAGUUUUCCUUGUGGGCCUAGAUCUUUAGAGGCAGACCAACAGAAACUCAUAGAACCCAGAACUGAGGAAAAAAAAAAAAAAUCACCUGAGAAGCACUGUCAACUUUGUUUAAAUUCAGAUAAUGGCUACUGAACGUUACUCCAUUUAUUUCAGAGGAGAUAUAUCAUUUUUUCCAUACCAAGGAUGUGACGUACUGAGUUUUAUUUUGCGCUUAAUAAGGGAAAAGAUGAAGUCUUAUGUAUUAUCAUGAUGUAUGUCAUUAGUUUCACACAACAGCUGCUGAACAUCUGAUGCAUUAGUUGUGCUAACUGUGGGACAGGAGGAGUUGCUGUAGGUUCUUUAUACCUUACGAUAAAUUUGCUGUCGCAGAGUGAGUUAGCUGCCAGAUUUAUUUAGUCAUGACAGCAAAGGUCCAUUGACUUUAACAAGAACAUGGAGAUUUUCUCCAUAGUAAACCUAGGAGAAGUAGCAGCUGUCUUGAACUGACUAACAAACAAUUUUCUUCUUCGUGGUCUUUUCAAAAUGUUUCUUCUUUUUCUCUUCUGCUGGUGAUUCAUGUUUUCUAUAGGGAGAGACAAUGAUGUUUUCAUUACUCUCCUACACAAAGUUUCUAAAGUAGCUUUCUAUGUAUCUCUCUGUCUCUCUAAGUGAACAAAUUUAAACAACUUCUAAUUUAUUUAUAUUAAGUGUAAAAUAAGAUGUCUUUUAUUCACCUAGGAUGAGUACCUAGUUUAUCAGGGUCUCUUGGGGUGUAAGAAAGGCAGUGGAAUCUAUGAACUUUGUUUAAUAAAAAUGAUAUUGAAUCAGCUGAUUUCAACUACUGUAUUUAUUUUUCUUCCCUUAUUUUUUUUCAACAUUUGCAUGUUCUUUCAGGUCUGUUAAAAUAUGAGCCAGUAAGCUCUGGAGAUAGAAUUCCUCAAUGUUGUCACAGACUGUAGGGUGAACUUAUUGAAGCACAAUUUUCAACUUGCUAUCUAUUGCAUUCAGCUGUGAUUGGGUGGGGUGUCUUAAUGAAAAACAGAAACUUAGCAUUGCACAUUGUGAAGUUUUAGAAGCUUAUUUUAGGAUUGCAGUAAAUGGUGCCAAAUAGUUUGAUCAGUGCUAAGGCAUUUUAAACUCUACUAAGUUUUUAGGUUCUAUGACUCUAGUGGUCUGAUAUGCUAAAACUGGCCCUAUGGCGAAAAGAUUCUCUGAGAAUGAUGUAACUUGUAGUGUCAGUUUUAUCAUGUGAUAAAUGUCUUUUAAAUGUCUUUAAAUCCCCUGUCUGUUCUUGAAGAUGAAUGGAAAUUCUUUCAAUGACAUUGUAUUCUUGCAUUUCAAACAGUAUUUCUUUCCUGCUGUGAGACUUAUUGAAUAACUGAAAUAAUUAGAUUUUCUAC